GAUGAACGCUAGCGGCAGGCUUAACACAUGCAAGUCGAGGGGUAUGGUAGCAAUACCAGAGACCGGCGCACGGGUGCGUAACGCGUAUGCAAUCUACCUUUCACAGAGGGAUAGCCCAGAGAAAUUUGGAUUAAUACCUCAUAGUAUGCAGGAAUGGCAUCAUUUCUACAUUAAAGUCACAACGGUGAAAGAUGAGCAUGCGUCCCAUUAGCUAGUUGGUAUGGUAACGGCAUACCAAGGCGACGAUGGGUAGGGGUCCUGAGAGGGAGAUCCCCCACACUGGUACUGAGACACGGACCAGACUCCUACGGGAGGCAG
rnacentral:rRNA from 1 species